AUGGAAGAAGGUCUCACUGUGUGGAGAGCUUGUCAGAUUAUUAACCAUGAGUGGCUAAGUGGCGACGUAAUUAAUGCAUACUCACCAUAUUUGGUCGACAAAGUUAAUGAUGAUCGUUUCAUGUUGACAACUUGGAGGAUACAUUGGUUGCUUCACAUUAGACCCGGAAAGAAGACCGCCGGUAACGAUUAUGAAGCAGAGUCGCAUAGUAAUGGACCCGUGAAUAGAUGUGAGGACGAGUAUUUCAAAAAAUCAAAGACUUAUAUUCCUCUAAACAAGGAAAAUACUCACUGGGUUACUGUUGUCAUGCAUAGCGGGAAGAGAGAGUUCCAGGUUCUUGACUCGUUGAUGACCGGAAAACUUGACAGUGUUACUAGAGAACUCGUUGAGGACCUGAGAAAACAACUAGCAGAAGAUAUCCAAGAAGCAAAUGCAACCGGAAUUGUGAAUUAUCCGGAUGUUUCCAAUUGGCCUAUUCAAACGUAUGACAUGCCAAAACAACAUGAUGGGAAUUCGUGUGGAAUAUUUCUCCUUCGAUGCUUUCAAUAUUGGGAUGGUGACAAAUGGACAGGCUUAUUUUCACAGAGGUCAAUUGAUGAUUCGAGAGAGGUAACGAUAGCGCAACUUAUCUUUUCGGAAAGAAACAAGCUUGAUGAAGUGAAAAACAAAGUUAUUCGGAUAUCAAAGAAGAAGAAAUAG
rnacentral:rRNA from 1 species